UGGCUCAAUUGGUAGAGCAUGGUGUUUGCAACGCCAGGAUUGUGGGUUUGAUUCCCAC
rnacentral:tRNA from 1 species